UUUUAUUGAAUUCAACGCAGUGAUAUUUGCCUACGGAUACCAACGCCAAGGCCCACGGAUGGAGAGGUCGCCAGUGGUGCCUUAAUAAGUGGAAGGAACUAGCCAAGCUCAAUAGCGAAGGGACGGAGAGGACAAGGAGUGAUAAGCAAAGGAGAAAAUUAAACAUGAAACAUAACAUUAAACAUUAAACAUAAAAGGUAUCGAGUGAUUAUAAGAAUAAUACAAAGAGAAAAUGCUCCCAAAUUGCCUAAGGGGGCACAGUGAAUGGUUGAUGGUUCAGCCCUAAAAUGGAUAUGUCAGAU